rnacentral:rRNA from 1 species
UACAGAGGUCCCAAGCGUUGUUCGGAUUCACUGGGCGUAAAGGGUGCGUAGGUGGUCAGGUAAGUCUGAUGUGAAAUCUCUGGGCUCAACCCAGAAACUGCAUUGGAUACUAUCUGGCUAGAGGAGUGGAGGGGGGACUGGAAUACUUGGUGUAGCAGUGAAAUGCGUAGAGAUCAUGAGGAAGACCAGUGGCGAAGGCGGGUCUCUGGACAGUUCCUGACACUGAGGCACGAAGGCCAGGGGAGCAAACGGG